AUUUAAAUAGUUUAAUAAAAAAUAUUGAUUUGUGGUAUCAAAGAUGUAAAAUUUACUUUAAAUU
rnacentral:tRNA from 1 species